rnacentral:tRNA from 1 species
AGAGGAGGUCUUAAGACCUGCUAACUCUUUAACCUGGCACUAAAAUCCAGCCUCC